UAUGGCUCAGGACGAACGCUGGCGGCGUGCCUAAUACAUGCAAGUCGAGCGAACAGAAGGGAGCUUGCUCCCGGAUGUUAGCGGCGGACGGGUGAGUAACACGUGGGUAACCUGCCUGUAAGACUGGGAUAACUCCGGGAAACCGGAGCUAAUACCGGAUAGUUCCUUGAACCGCAUGGUUCAAGGAUGAAAGACGGUUUCGGCUGUCACUUACAGAUGGACCCGCGGCGCAUUAGCUAGUUGGUGGGGUAAUGGCUCACCAAGGCGACGAUGCGUAGCCGACCUGAGAGGGUGAUCGGCCACACUGGGACUGAGACACGGCCCAGACUCCUACGGGAGGCAGCAGUAGGGAAUCUUCCGCAAUGGACGAAAGUCUGACGGAGCAACGCCGCGUGAGUGAUGAAGGUUUUCGGAUCGUAAAGCUCUGUUGUUAGGGAAGAACAAGUGCGAGAGUAACUGCUCGCACCUUGACGGUACCUAACCAGAAAGCCACGGCUAACUACGUGCCAGCAGCCGCGGUAAUACGUAGGUGGCAAGCGUUGUCCGGAAUUAUUGGGCGUAAAGGGCUCGCAGGCGGUUUCUUAAGUCUGAUGUGAAAGCCCCCGGCUCAACCGGGGAGGGUCAUUGGAAACUGGGAAACUUGAGUGCAGAAGAGGAGAGUGGAAUUCCACGUGUAGCGGUGAAAUGCGUAGAGAUGUGGAGGAACACCAGUGGCGAAGGCGACUCUCUGGUCUGUAACUGACGCUGAGGAGCGAAAGCGUGGGGAGCGAACAGGAUUAGAUACCCUGGUAGUCCACGCCGUAAACGAUGAGUGCUAAGUGUUAGGGGGUUUCCGCCCCUUAGUGCUGCAGCUAACGCAU
rnacentral:rRNA from 1 species